CCUUGUACACACCGCCCGUCACACCAUGGGAGUGGGUUGCACCAAAAGUAGCUAGUCUAACCUUCGGGAGGACGGUUACCACGGUGUGAUUCAUGACUGGGGUG
rnacentral:rRNA from 1 species